GACACUGUGGCACAGAGGUUUGAGUGUUGGACUAUGACUCUGGAGACCAGGGUUCGAAUCCCACCUUGGCCA